rnacentral:rRNA from 1 species
AUUGAACGCUGGCGGCAGGCCUAACACAUGCAAGUCGAACGGUGACAGGAAACAGCUUGCUGUUUCGCUGACGAGUGGCGGACGGGUGAGUAAUGUCUGGGAAACUGCCUGAUGGAGGGGGAUAACUACUGGAAACGGUAGCUAAUACCGCAUAACGUCGCAAGACCAAAGAGGGGGACCUUCGGGCCUCUUGCCAUCGGAUGUGCCCAGAUGGGAUUAGCUAGUAGGUGGGGUAACGGCUCACCUAGGCGACGAUCCCUAGCUGGUCUGAGAGGAUGACCAGCCACACUGGAACUGAGACACGGUCCAGACUCCUACGGGAGGCAGCAGUGGGGAAUAUUGCACAAAGGGCGCAAGCCUGAUGCAGCCAUGCCGCGUGUAUGAAGAAGGCCUUCGGGUUGUAAAGUACUUUCAGCGGGGAUGAAGGGAGUAAAGUUAAUACCUUUGCUCAUUGACGUUACCCGCAGAAGAAGCACCGGCUAACUCCGUG